CUCAACAAGCACAAUAUAGUUGUUGUGUCCUCGAGUAGUCUCUUUGAAAUCUGAAUUAAAUAUCUGAAGCGCUUUGUGUUUCUACAAACUUCUAGCCGCUCUAGUAGAACAGUCUCCACUGUUUCGCUUACUGUUGGAAGUGGUGGGGAGGUAUUUGCUGGGAUCUAGUAAAGUACGCGAAGUCUUGGGAAGUACCACAACAGUGACAUCUAUCAUAUUGGGCUUAUUAUUUCUGGUUUGGACUAGUCAUAUAUAACAAACAUCUGAUAAAAAAAAGGUUGUGUAGGUUAAAACUAAACCACUUUAACCACUAGACAAUAAUUGCAUUUCUUGGUUUUAGUAGUCUCAAGUAAUUGAUGAGCUAAUAUUUUUAAACUUAAAGGUAAGGGGUGGGCUUGAAAGUAUUUUUACACAUAAAAAUGGGGCUGCGACAAAAGAAGGGGCAAGUUUUUAAAUGGAACGCUCUCAUACUGGUUUGCUUUUUAUUCCAAGUCUCUAAGAAUCGCUCUCUUCUUCCCGUUGUGCAGAAAAGUGACUGAGCCUCAGAACCAGCUGACACUACAAAUACUUGCUUACUGGUAUUCACGCGAAGAUUACGCGGGACUAUGCUAACCUGAACAGAGCAAAUUUCUUCCAAUGCUAACUGGGCGUAUUCCACCAAGAUUGUAAAUUGAACCUCUCAAAGUCCUCCUUAGUUUAAGCGAUGUAGAUUACGAUCCUGACUACUACGUUAAACAUAAAUGAUCCAAAUAAUCCCUAAUAACAA